rnacentral:misc_RNA from 1 species
AUUUGGUCUUAGUUGUAGGUUGUACGUGUUAAAUUGGUUAGUUCCAUAUAUCUUUUGAAAUCAUUUAAGUAAAUUAGCCAUCAAAAUACACAGACACCAAAACUGAAAGGAAGACCCAGUUUGCUUGCCUAUAACACUUCCAAGAACUAAAACUUUAUAAAAGAAACUAGCAUUAUAUCUAUAAUCAACUAACCUAUGUGUUUCCAUGUGUGAUGCAUCUUCCUGAAGUAUAACGCUAUGCGCUAAAACUUUAUAGGCAUGUUAUCUUCCUCACUAGUUUCUCAUUUUUAAAUCUCUUCACUUGGAUCCCUCAUUUGCUAUGUUCUAAAUUUAUAAAAAAUAAUAAAAAAAAACCUUGAAAUUUCAC